CCCUUAGAGUUUGAUCCUGGCUCAGAAUCAACGCUGGCGGCGUGCCUCAGACAUGCAAGUCGAACGAUUAAGACUCCCUUCGGGGAGUGCAUAAAGUGGCGCACGGGUGAGUAACACGUAGGUAAUCUACCUUUGAGUGGGGAAUAACAUCGGGAAACCGAUGCUAAUACCGCAUAAUGCAGCGGCACCUAAUGGUGACAGUUGUUAAAGAUUUAUCGCUUAAAGAGGAGCCUGCGGCGGAUUAGCUAGUUGGUAAGGUAAUGGCUUACCAAGGCAACGAUCUGUAACCGACCUGAGAGGGUGGUCGGUCACACUGACACUGAAUAACGGGUCAGACUCCUACGGGAGGCAGCAGUCGGGAAUUUUGGGCAAUGGGCGAAAGCCUGACCCAGCAACGCCGCGUGAAGGAUGAAGUAUUUCGGUAUGUAAACUUCGUAAGAAUGGGAAGAAUAAAUGACGGUACCAUUUGUAAGGUCCGGCUAACUACGUGCCAGCAGCCGCGGUAAUACGUAGGGACCAAGCGUUGUUCGGAUUUACUGGGCGUAAAGGGUGCGUAGGCGGCGUGUCAAGUCAGUUGUGAAAUCUUAAGGCUUAACCUUAAGCGGUCAACUGAUACUGUCAUGCUAGAGUGCAGAAGGGGCAAUCGGAAUUCUUGGUGUAGCGGUGAAAUGCGUAGAUAUCAAGAGGAACACCUGAGGUGAAAGACAGGUUGCUGGGCUGACACUGACGCUGAGCACGAAAGCUAGGGUAGCAAACGGGAUAGAUACCCCGGUAGUCUAGCC
rnacentral:rRNA from 1 species